CUCCGACUUCAUGGGGUCGAGUUGCAGACCCCAAUCCGAACUGAGACCGGCUUUUUGGGAUUCGCUCCACCUUACGGUAUCGCAGCCCUCUGUACCGGCCAUUGUAGCAUGCGUGAAGCCCAAGACAUAAGGGGCAUGAUGAUUUGACGUCAUCCCCACCUUCCUCCGAGUUGACCCCGGCAGUCUCCCAUGAGUCCCCGGCAUAACCCGCUGGCAACAUAGGACGAGGGUCGCGCUCGUUGCGGGACUUAACCCAACAUCUCACGACACGAGCUGACGACAACCAUGCACCACCUGUGUACGAGUGUCCAAAGAGAACCCCGUCUCGGGGGCUUUCUCGUACAUGUCAAGCCUUGGUAAGGUUCUUCGCGUUGCAUCGAAUUAAUCCGCAUGCUCCGCCGCUUGUGCGGGCCCCCGUCAAUUCCUUUGAGUUUUAGCCUUGCGGCCGUACUCCCCAGGCGGGGCACUUAAUGCGUUAGCUGCGGCACGGAACUCGUGGAAUGAGCCCCACACCUAGUGCCCAACGUUUACGGCAUGGACUACCAGGGUAUCUAAUCCUGUUCGCUCCCCAUGCUUUCGCUCCUCAGCGUCAGUUGCGGCCCAGAGACCUGCCUUCGCCAUCGGUGUUCCUCCUGAUAUCUGCGCAUUCCACCGCUACACCAGGAAUUCCAGUCUCCCCUACCGCACUCUAGUCUGCCCGUACCCGAUGCAAGCCCGAGGUUGAGCCUCGGGAUUUCACACCAGACGCGACAGACCGCCUACGAGCUCUUUACGCCCAAUAAUUCCGGACAACGCUUGCGCCCUACGUAUUACCGCGGCUGCUGGCACGUAGUUAGCCGGCGCUUCUUCUGCAGGUACCGUCACUUGCGCUUCUUCCCUGCUGAAAGAGGUUUACAACCCGAAGGCCGUCAUCCCUCACGCGGCGUCGCUGCAUCAGGCUUGCGCCCAUUGUGCAAUAUUCCCCACUGCUGCCUCCCGUAGGAGUCUGGGCCGUGUCUCAGUCCCAGUGUGGCCGGUCGCCCUCUCAGGCCGGCUACCCGUCGACGCCUUGGUAGGCCAUCACCCCACCAACAAGCUGAUAGGCCGCGAGCCCAUCCCCCACCGAAAAACUUUCCAACCCACACCAUGCGAUGCGAGCUCAUAUCCGGUAUUAGACCCCGUUUCCAAGGCUUAUCCCGAAGUGGAGGGCAGGUUGCUCACGUGUUACUCACCCGUUCGCCACUGAUCCACCCAGCAAGCUGGGCUUCACCG
rnacentral:rRNA from 1 species